AACAUCUUCUUACCAAAAAGUGCAAAGGUAAGGAGAUACGUUCUGCGCAUGCGCUGCGCUAUCUCCUUAAAUACGCAUAAUUUGUUAAAAGGAUAUUAAGCAAAGUUGUAGCCCUCAUCAUGACGAACAACUUUCGUUAACAUCUUCUUACCAAAAAGUGCAAAGGUAAGGAGAUACGUUCUGCGCAUGCGCAACCCUAUCUCCUUAAAUACGCAUAAUUUGUUAAAAGGAUAUU
rnacentral:miRNA from 1 species